rnacentral:rRNA from 1 species
GACGAACGCUGGCGGCGUGCUUAACACAUGCAAGUCGAACGGAAAGGCCUGCUUUCCCUUGUGGAUUGCGGGUACUCGAGUGGCGAACGGGUGAGUAACACGUGAGUGAUCUGCCCCCAACUUGGGUAUAAGCCUGGGAAACUGGGUCUAAUUCCCGAUAGGACUGCAGGGUGGUGCCUGUGGUGGAAAACGAUUUUCUAGUGGUUGGGGAUGAGCUCGCGGCCUAUCAGCUUGUUGGUGGGGUAAUGGCCUACCAAGGCGGCGACGGGUAGCCGGCCUGAGGGGGUGGACGGCCACAUUGGGACUGAGAUACGGCCCAGACUCCUACGGGAGGCAGCAGUGGGGAAUAUUGCACAAUGGGCGGAAGCCUGAUGCAGCGACGCCGCGUGGGGGAUGACGGCCUUCGGGUUGUAAACUCCUUUCGACCGCGAGGAAGCCACCUGGUUGGAAGGGUGGUGACGGUAGUGGUAGAAGAAGCACCGGCUAGCUACGUG